rnacentral:lncRNA from 1 species
CCAGAAGGGCUUGCAUGGAUUGGUACUCAGAUGCGGCCACUGAAGGUAAUUGGGAAAAGAAGUUGUUGCACCAGUCCGUUUGCAUGAGAAAGUCUCGGCGAUGCAGAUUGUUGGAUUUUUUGCAGGUAAGAAUUGGUUGGGGCUGAGAGUUUUCGAGUAGCUCGCUUCUUGGAUAAUUCAAGAAUCGAGCCAAAAGGAUGUGUACUUGCUGUCACCAAU